GAGCGGAUGAAGGGGGCUUGCUCCUGGAUUCAGCGGCGGACGGGUGAGUAAUGCGCAGGAAUCUACCUAGUAGUGAGGGAUAACGUUCCGAAAGGGACGCUAAUACCGCAUACGUUCUGAGGAAGAAAGCAGGGGACCUUCGGGCCUUGCGCUAUUAGAUGAGCUUGCGUCCGAUUAGCUAGUUGGUGGGGUAAAGGCCUACCAAGGCGACGAUCGGUAACUGGUCUGAGAGGAUGAUCAGUCACACUGGAACUGAGACACGGUCCAGACUCCUACGGGAGGCAGCAGUGGGGAAUAUUGAACAAUGGGGGCAACCCUGAUCCAGCUAUGCCGCGUGUGUGAAGAAGGCCCUCGGGUUGUAAAGCACUUUAAGCGGGGAGGAAGGCCUGAUGGCUAAUAUCCAUCGGGAUUGACGUUACCCGCAGAAUAAGCACCGGCAAACUUCGUGCCAGCAGCCGCGGUAAUACGAAGGGUGCGAGCGUUAAUCGGAAUUACUGGGCGUAAAGCGCGCGUAGGUGGUUGAGUAAGCGAUCAGUGAAAUCCCCGGGCUUAACCUGGGAACUGCUGGUCGAACUGCUUGGCUAGAGUAUGGUAGAGGGGUGUGGAAUUCCCUGUGUAGCGGUGAAAUGCGUAGAGAUGUGGAGGAACACCAAUGGCGAAGGCAGCCCCCCUGGGUCGAUACUGACGCUCAUGCACGAAAGCGUGGGUAGCAAACAGGAUUAGAUACCCUGGUAGUCCACGCCCUAAACGAUGUCAACUAGGUGUUGGGUGGGUAAAACCAUUUAGUACCGUAGCUAACGCGUGAAGUUGACCGCCUGGGGAGUACGGCCGCAAGGUUAAAACUCAAAGGAAUUGACGGGGACCCGCACAAGCGGUGGAUGAUGUGGAUUAAUUCGAUGCAACGCGAAAAACCUUACCUACCCUUGACAUGUCUGGAAUCCCGAAGAGAUUUGGGAGUGCCCGAAAGGGAGCCGGAACACAGGUGCUGCAUGGCUGUCGUCAGCUCGUGUCGUGAGAUGUUGGGUUAAGUCCCGCAACGAGCGCAACCCUUGUCGUUAAUUGCCAUCAUUUAGUUGGGCACUUUAACGAGACUGCCGGUGACAAACCGGAGGAAGGUGGGGAUGACGUCAAGUCCUCAUGGCCCUUAUGGGUAGGGCUUCACACGUCAUACAAUGGUCGGUACAGAGGGUUGCCAAGCCGCGAGGUGGAGCCAAUCCCAGAAAGCCG
rnacentral:rRNA from 1 species